GACGAACGCUGGCGGCGUGCCUAAUACAUGCAAGUCGAACGCAGGGGGGACGGGUGAGUAACACGUGGGUAACCUCCCAUCAGAGGGGAUAACACUUGGUAAUAGGUGCUAAACCGAUACGGCCGGUUGGACCCGCGGUGCAUUAGCUAGUUGGUGAGGUAACGGCUCACUAAGGCCACGAUGCAUAGACGACCUGAGAGGGUGAUCGGCCAAACUGGGACUGAGACACGGCCCAGACUCCUACGGUAGGCAGCAGUAGGGAAUCUUCGGCAAUGGAAGAAAGUCUGACCGAGCAACGCCGCGUGAGUGAAGAAGGUUUUCGGAUCGUAAAGCUCUGUUGUUAGAGAAGCGGUAUCUAACCAGAAAGCCACGGCUAACUACGUGCCAGCCGCCGCGGUAAUAC
rnacentral:rRNA from 1 species